rnacentral:tRNA from 1 species
GGGCUCGUAGCUCAGCUGGUUAGAGUACCUCCUUGACAUGGAGGGGGUCUCCGGUUCAAAUCCGGACGAGCCCACCA